AGUGAACGCUGGCGGUAGGCCUAACACAUGCAAGUCGAACGGCAGCACAGUAAGAGCUUGCUCUUACGGGUGGCGAGUGGCGGACGGGUGAGGAAUACAUCGGAAUCUACUUUUUCGUGGGGGAUAACGUAGGGAAACUUACGCUAAUACCGCAUACGACCUACGGGUGAAAGCAGGGGAUCUUCGGACCUUGCGCGAUUGAAUGAGCCGAUGUCGGAUUAGCUAGUUGGCGGGGUAAAGGCCCACCAAGGCGACGAUCCGUAGCUGGUCUGAGAGGAUGAUCAGCCACACUGGAACUGAGACACGGUCCAGACUCCUACGGGAGGCAGCAGUGGGGAAUAUAGGACGAUGGGCGCAAGCCUGAUCCAGCCAUACCGCGUGGGUGAAGAAGGCCUUCGGGUUGUAAAGCCCUUUUGUUGGGAAAGAAAAGCAGCAGGUUAAUACCCCGCUGUUCUGACGGUACCCAAAGAAUAAGCACCGGCUAACUUCGUG
rnacentral:rRNA from 1 species